rnacentral:lncRNA from 1 species
UUAUACCCCCAUGCAAUUAACAAAUUACAAACUCAAACCUAAAAUCAUUUUAUCAUUCAUGAAAAACGACAAAACCAUAAAAAAACAUUUUCCCACCAAAACUACAAACACAAUUUUCCGCCAAAACCACAAAACACAAUUUUUGGCCAAAAUCGCAAUUUUCUCGUAAAAAUGUAAUUCCCGCCAAAACAGCUUUUCCCAUCAAAACACAUUUUACAGCAAAAACUGUAAAAACUGCAAAAACACAUUUUCCCGCCAAUACCGCAAAAUCGCGUUUUCCCGCUAAAACCACAAAAACGUGUUUCCUGC